rnacentral:rRNA from 1 species
GACGAACGCUGGCGGCGUGCCUAAUACAUGCAAGUCGAACGAAGCAGUUUUAACUGGUGCUUGCACCGACUUAAACAACUGAGUGGCGAACGGGUGAGUAACACGUGGGUAACCUGCCCCAAAGCGGGGGAUAACAUUUGGAAACAGAUGCUAAUACCGCAUAACCACAGAAACCACAGGGUUUCUGUGUCAAAGAUGGUUUCGGCUAUCAUGUUGGGAUGCAACAGCGGCGUAUUGGCUAGUUGGUAAGGUAAUGGCUUACCAAGGCAAUGAUACGUAGCCGAACUGAGAGGUUGAGCGGCCACAUUGGGACUGAGACACGGCCCAAACUCCUACGGGAGGCAGCAGUAGGGAAUCUUCCACAAUGGACGAAAGUCUGAUGGAGCAACGCCGCGUGAGUGAAGAAGGUUUUCGGAUCGUAAAACUCUGUUGUCAGAGAAGAACGUGUGCGAGAGUAACUGUUCGAGCAGUGACGGUAUCUGGCCAGAAAGCCACGGCUAUCUACGUGCCAGCAGCCGCAGUAA